GCCUGUACUACCCCUUCCCUCACCUCAGGGUCAAACUGCUGAGGGAUCCCAAAGACCGCAGUGUCUCAGGAAAUGGUCUGGGUAUCCGUGUGGUUGGAGGGAAAGAAGUUCCUGGCAGUAAUGGAGAUAUUGGAGCCUAUGUUGCCAAAGUCCUACCCGAUGGAGCUGCAGAACAAACCGGAAAGAUUCUUGAAGGAAUGCAAGUGCUGGAGUGGAGCGGUGUUCCUUUGACGGGGAAAACCUAUG
rnacentral:lncRNA from 1 species